UUCGAUAGUACUACUCCUAUUGCAGAUCUCCCACAGAAUAAUGUUGUUGCUGAAGUCUUAGUAACAGCUUUGAGUAAUCCCAACAAUACCUUCAAUGUGAGCAUAGAUCCGGGAUCAGUCAAAGUAUUUGCAGAUCCAGU